GAACGGCAGCACGGGAGCAAUCCUGGUGGCGAGUGGCGAACGGGUGAGUAAUAUAUCGGAACGUGCCCAGUCGUGGGGGAUAACGCAGCGAAAGCUGUGCUAAUACCGCAUACGAUCUCUGGAUGAAAGCGGGGGACUCGCAAGAGCCUCGCGCGAUUGGAGCGGCCGAUAUCAGAUUAGCUAGUUGGUGGGGUAAAGGCCCACCAAGGCGACGAUCUGUAGCUGGUCUGAGAGGACGACCAGCCACACUGGAACUGAGACACGGUCCAGACUCCUACGGGAGGCAGCAGUGGGGAAUUUUGGACAAUGGGCGCAAGCCUGAUCCAGCAAUGCCGCGUGCAGGAUGAAGGCCUUCGGGUUGUAAACUGCUUUUGUACGGAACGAAACGGUCCUUUCUAAUAAAAAGGGCUAAUGACGGUACCGUAAGAAUAAGCACCGGCUAACUACGUGCCAGCAGCCGCGGUAAUACGUAGGGUGCGAGCGUUAAUCGGAAUUACUGGGCGUAAAGCGUGCGCAGGCGGUUAUAUAAGACAGAUGUGAAAUCCCCGGGCUCAACCUGGGACCUGCAUUUGUGACUGUAUAGCUAGAGUACGGUAGAGGGGGAUGGAAUUCCGCGUGUAGCAGUGAAAUGCGUAGAUAUGCGGAGGAACACCGAUGGCGAAGGCAAUCCCCUGGACCUGUACUGACGCUCAUGCACGAAAGCGUGGGGAGCAAACAGGAUUAGAUACCCUGGUAGUCCACGCCCUAAACGAUGUCAACUGGUUGUUGGGUCUUUACUGACUCAGUAACGAAGCUAACGCGUGAAGUUGACCGCCUGGGGAGUACGGCCGCAAGGUUG
rnacentral:rRNA from 1 species